AUUGAACGCUGGCGGCAGGCCUAACACAUGCAAGUCGAGCGGAUGAAGGGAGCUUGCUCCUGGAUUCAGCGGCGGACGGGUGAGUAAUGCCUAGGAAUCUGCCUGGUAGUGGGGGAUAACGUCCGGAAACGGGCGCUAAUACCGCAUACGGCCUGAGGGAGAAAGUGGGGGAUCUGCGGACCUCACGCUAUCAGAUGAGCCUAGGUCGGAUUAGCGAGUUGGUGGGGUAAAGGCCUACCAAGGCGACGAUCCGUAACUGGUCUGAGAGGGUGAUCAGUCACACUGGAACUGAGACACGGUCCAGACUCCUACGGGAGGCAGCAGUGGGGAAUAUUGGACAAUGGGCGAAAGCCUGAUCCAGCCAUGCCGCGUGUGUGAAGAAGGUCUUCGGAUUGUAAAGCACUUUAAGUUGGGAGGAAGGGCAGUAAGUUAAUACCUUGCUGUUUUGACGUUACCAACAGAAUAAGCACCGGCUAACUUCGUG
rnacentral:rRNA from 1 species